UGCUCAGUUUACAACACUUCUCUCAUAAUUUCCUUAGCCAAAACCCCAUUUUUAGACAAAAUGACUUACAAUCAACAUCAACCAUUUCUUUCCCCCAAUUCAAUCAUCAUACUAACUUCACAAACACUAAUUUACAAGUCAUUAACACAUACAAACAGAUUUAACAUGUUCUAUAUCAUUCAUCAUUACACAAAACAUCAUUUAGAUCAUUAUCAUCAAAGUACGAUUAGAU
rnacentral:lncRNA from 1 species